rnacentral:lncRNA from 1 species
CCAGGGUCCAGGGCACAGGGCCUCUGGGACACUGGGGUAAGUUGAACACUAGCAAAGGUGGCCUUUGUGCUUUUAAGGAAUUUGGAGACAUUCUGAGGAUUGAUUCUGGUCUUUUUUCCACAUUGGGAAAGUAUUUAGCCUUUGAGUACAUUCAUGUCAUAGUUCAUACAUAAGUCAGGGUGAAGAGAGAGAGAGAGAGAGAGAGAGAGAGAGAGAGAGAGAGAGAGAGAGACAGAGAGAGAGAGACAGAGAGAGAGAGAGAGAGAGACAGAGAGAGAGAGAGACAGAGAGAGAGAGACAGAGAGAGCAAGCGCACAGGCUCUUAAGUGGGUAGCAGGUACACCAAGGAGAGAAAACCUGAUAAGCAAAAGUGACAGGUGACCAGAAUUAGCCAGAUGUGCCAUACCUCACCACUUCCUAGUUUACUAGAUUUCAAAAGUCCUUUCCAGGACAGAGGUUGGGCAGGUUUCCUCUAAGUCAUCUUUAUAAGAUUAAAGCUUCAGGACUCCAAGAGAAAGCAAAGACAUGCCAUGCGCCCCAGCCCGGUGAGAGUAAACGGUGCAGGAGAAGGCUAUGCCCAUUUCUCCAGAACCCAAGCCAGGGGGCAGAAGUCUUUGCUCGCCACCACACACACUUGAUGAUGGCUUAGCCCAGGCCAUGACUCAAGCGUUAGAAUCACUGCUAGGGUGCACAUAUAUCUGACAGCUCAGCGGCCAUCCUGCUGUUAGGAAGCAGUAUGUGCUGUCAUUCAAGACUUUGAGGCAGCGGCCAAGUGCCUUGCUUGAGCUAUUUGAACAAGGAUUGUGUCGUCAUUCAGCUAAGUACUGAUGAGAGCUGAGAUGGAAGGGCAGUGCUUCAUAGAUCUAUGGAAAUCAAUGGACCCCCACCCCAUCCCUAUCCCUGCAUGAAUAGGCUCAGCUUUUGUCUUAGAAAAUUCUGGUGAGAGCUGGGUAACUCAGCUGUCUAUUGGAUAAUUUUAGGAUUGGUUACCUUUAAAGUAGAGGCACUUUGAUUAUUAAUAACUUGGGCUGAUUCCUGAGUUUGGGUUUAUACUGUAUAAGUGAUGUUUUCAUCUCUAUUCUGAAAUAUUCCUUGGAAAACUGUUCUUUAUAAAGUAACUUCUUUAAAAAAAUUAAAUUAGAUUUGUGUGUGUGUGUGUGUGUUUGUGUGUGUGUGUGUGUGUGUGUGUGAGAGAGAGAGAGAGCGAGAGAGAGAGAGAGAGAGAGAGAGAGAGCAUGCUACAGAAAGAGUCAGAGAGACACAGAGAUUCCUGAGAAGAAACUUAAAGGAGCUGUUUUCCCAUGGUUCCUUGGGGUCAGGUUCUCUGGUCUGGCCACAGCAAGUGCUUUUACCUGCUGGGCUGCCUCACCAGGCUGAUGGUGCAACUUCUUAAAGCUAUAAUGACGGGCACUGGGACAGCUCCGUGAACAAAGGUGCUGGCUGCCACACCUGAGUGUGGUCCCCAGAAUCCACUCGGUAAAGGACAGAAUAGACCCUGGAGGUUGUCCUCUGAUGUCAUCCAUGUCAUCCAUGUACCAUGGUACUUACUGUGUACUGCUCCAUCAUAUGCAUACAUGUUUAGAGAAAGUUCAUGGCACAUAUGAACAACUACAUGCGUUUAUAAACAAUCACCUCUACUUUAUCUUUUUGCUUGAAUUUUUGGCCUUCGCUCCUGCUUAAAUGUUCUCAAUAUAACCUCUGUGUCUCUUUUGAGGAGACAUCUUUAUCUCUUGGGAUAAAUGUUAGCCAGAGGUUGGUAAAGUUCUGAGGCCAUCGGUGUGAGAUGGCCAUGGCUGGGAGAGCUGACAAAAAGAAGAGGUGAGGAGGAGACGCUAGAAGCGCUCGAGAGCGUGUGUAGGUGUGUGGGCUUUUCACUGUAUGUGGAAAUACAGUGAGCUGCCUGUCCACUAUUGCCAUUCCUUCCUAGAAGAUAUGUGGAGGACAGAGACCAGUCUUGAGUGUAUUCCUCAGGUGCCACCACCUUGCUUAACUCUGUCUGACACAAGGCUGCUGUGAAGGUUGGCUGCCCGGGGUCUGGGCUCUGCCUGCUUUGCUUCCCCAGGAGUUACAAGCGUGUGCUACCUGGCUGGCCUUUCCGUAAUGGCUUCUGGGGAUUGAACUCAGGUCCCCACACUUGCACAGGUAGCACUUCACUGAUGGAGCCAUCUCCCCAGCCAGGAUGACAUUUAACAAACAUUUUAAUUUUUAUUGUGUGUGGGGGAGGUGCAGGUGCUGACAGAGGCCAAAGGUAUUAAAUCCCCUAGAACUGAGCUUACAAGUAGUUGAGGUAGAUGCCAGGAGUUGAACUUGAGUCCAACACUCAAGAACUCUUAACCUUAACUGCUGAACUAGCUGUCUAGAUGUUCCUGCCACUCACAACCUCCUUGUUCAGGACUUUUUGACACAAGAAGACAACCAAUUUUUGGGUGACCGGAAAUACAGUGAGCUGCCUGUCCACUAUUGCCAUUCCUUCUUAGAAGAUAUUCAGAGCAGAGAAUAAACUUUUAAAGUGCCAGCUUAAUUUUACUCGUAUUUGGCAGUCCAGGUUUGGUGGGGGAGGGGGAGGGGAAAGGAGAAGCAACUCCAAACUGAAAGAAUCUCUGACACAUGACUAGCUAGCUACAUUCCUGACUCCUCAUUACCUGAGAAGAGAGAGGGCUGGGCAGAGUAGGCUGCAGCCCAGUAGGUGAUGAACAAAUCCUUGGUGGAGGGAACCCAGCUUCCGCAGCUCUCCUGUAUGACCUGGGACGUCGAAAACACUGCAGUGAGCUCUGUGGGCCUUAAGACAGUCUCCGUCUCAGCACUGUGCGGCCUCAGCACUUAAUCCUGUAAGGUUGCAUUUUUCUUCAGACACAUCAAUUAAAACGACAUAUUGCAGCAAAUUGAAUACAGAAGCAGAUAUGAGAAAGUAACUACCUUUUAUUAUGACAAAUGUUAGAGAGGCUUAAAAAAAACUGGAGGCCGUGUUUGCUCUCUCGGUAGCUACUUUUCCUUUGUUUUGAGAGCAGCUUCUUGUUACAGAAUAGAAAUAUCAUUUAUGUUAUUUUAUCAUUUAUGAUUUUUAUGCUAGCAUGUCACAAAUUCAUGAUUUGAUUGAAAGAGAUGGCUGCACGAAUACUUUAAAAUACUUUGUUUUAACCCCUAAAUAUGGUCCUUGCACGGGUUGAUGUAGGCAGUAUAAACGUGGGCUCUUGAGUGUUCUUGACAAUUCAUAAGAGUAGAAAAGAGUCUCUAGGCCCAGGGUUUGGGCAUCUCUAUCCUAUUGUGAAAUAUCUCAGAAGCAGAGCUCUCUUGAAGGUUGGCCUUUUUCAUGUGCAGGGUGACACUAGAAGGAACAUUUGCUCUGAGCCAGCAGCACGACUCCUCCCUCAAGUGCCAGUGCCUCCCAGGGGAGGGGAGCCUGCAGGCCUAACAGGCAACCAUCUUCCUCUACCUCACAGUGCCCUUUGAUGGAGUCUUCCUCUUUCUUAUUGACUUGCAUGCAGUGGUAUUGGCUCCUUCAUGUCUUCUUCUUCCUGUGGAUGUCAAAGUGAAGAACGUCACAGUCCCUUGUGCAAUGUGAAGAAUGUGAACACAGAAGGCGUGUGCUUAGUACAGGAAAGAGACAUGAAGACAGUGAUCUGCUCUUGGUCUUUUGCCGUUCCCCAGAAUGGAUGUAACUAAGCCGGUGACGGGGGCUGGUGGUGCAAUUCAAUUGCCAGCCACUUGUCUAGGCUGCAGGAAGACCUGGACUCAGCACUGUAGAGACCCUAGUGGUAUAUUACUGCAAUUAUGGCACUAAGAUGAAGUGUCGGGGAGGCAGUAGAAUCAGGAGCUCAAGGUCUUCUUUGACUAUGUAACAAGUUCAAGGACAGGCUAGGUUUCAGGAGACUUUUCCUUGAGGAAAAAACACAACAUUUCAAAACCCAAACAGUUAACAGAUUAACUCAUGCCUUAACAUGAACAAUUGCAGACAGAAGUGCCUAAAACUGUGAAGGGAAAGAAGUGUCUGCUUUAGAAGUGUCUGUUUUCUCUAUUUUCUCCCUACAGUUGGUAGUUGGGCAUUUUCCUUAGGCAUGCAUUGCAAGGCUAAAGUCUACCUUAAAGAAUGUGGCCUUCUUCUGUAGACAAGCACUCUUGUAGUUCCUCAGUCCCAGACUGCAGUGGGCUGGCCCACCCAGAAAAGCCUGCCCCUGGGUAGACUGACAGGAGAGAGGAAGACGCUGAGUCGACAGCUCCUUUGACUUCCCUGAGGAACUUUCAGUGACUUGCCCAGCAGUCAGAUGGAGGUGCUUGGGGCAGUGCUGAUGCUCAGGCAAACGCUCCUACAGCAGAGUGAGCGCACAGGUCCUCCUGUGCCUGGAUCCUUGGUCCAAGUCUCCUCACGCGGCUCAACUUUACGUCUGUGUCAGAAGAACGUCAAGACCAAUUGCCACUUCUUUUUUUUCUCAGAGUCCUCAC